rnacentral:misc_RNA from 1 species
UAUUAACUCCCAGAUGGG